AGCGUUCUCCCAUGAACAUCUCCUGACACCCCGUCUUCCCACUUUGCCCUAAUGUUUGGUGAUGGAUACUCAGGGAGCCCCGGCACGUACUUAGAAAGUGCUAAGUAACUUCCCUGAAGCGAUAAGUGUGGAACUCCAGUAGAGGGAACUCAAAAAUGAGAAAUAGUGUGCCGUCCCAGCCCUAUUAAAGUUCCAGCUUGGGGGAACAAUGAAAUACUGAUUUCUGAAGGUCACCCCUAGUAUUUACCCCUCCCCCCACUUGAGUCUACCCUGAUGAGCCAACAAUCAGAGACCAUAGAGCAGCUUUUGCCACCUGAGAAACAGAGCCUGGCAUCUGCUGAUAAUCCAACAGCCUAGGACUGGAAGAAGAUGUGUGAUAAAGAGACCUAGAGACCAGAAAUCUGUAGAACAACAUCACAGGAAUAAGCAUACUGUUGUUCCUGAGAUUCAAAACGUUUAUGUCAAGAUUCUUUGGGGACGAAAGCAGACUAUGAGCUCCGAAGUUUGGAAAUUCCCACUGUCGCUCCAGAACUCCCAGAGAGCCCAGGAGGUACCCUACUUCCUGAGCAACCUUUUGAUGCCUCUGGUUUUCCCCUGAUGGAAGAACAUCUGAGCCAGGCCAGCCGGAUACUCUUCGGUCCCUUCUGUUCAACGUCUGCGCUGGCCAGACCAAGGGGCCAGGCAGCCAGAACGGUAGAGGUCUGUGCUUUUCGGGCGGCGGCCGGAAGAUGCGCUCUGGGAGCAGGCAGAACCACCGAGGCAGGGAGGACCUGGAUCGAAGAUGAGCAAAAACCCUGACGCUGGAUGUACUGAGGAGUCCUUGACCCUGCUGGUACCCGAGGUGGCCCCCAGGCUCUUGGUCUCCUCACAGGAGAGAAUCCAAGGGCAGGCACAAGUCGGAUGAGCCAUACAAGUAGGAAAUUUGAAAGCAAAAGUGCACUCCCAACAUCCCAGGAUGUGAGAGGGGUGAGCUGAGGAGGGAGAGAGUGGCACGACCUGGGGCUGGGUUUCUCUCUAUUACUGACAGUUGUUAACUAGGGGGCAGAAUGUUUAUUACUUGGGCCUGGAAGCAGGGUUUCCCACUGUUUUUUCUUCCUAACCUGCUCAGCGAUUUCCAUUUCCGGUGGUGGCUCCACCAUCUGGGGCCCCUGUGGUGUGAUCCUGCUCCUUGUGGAGUGCUGCCAGGACCUUCCUCACCACUGGCCACUGCCUCCUCCUUGCUGGCCUCCGGGCAUCCCAUGAGAGCCUCACUGCCUGCCUCCAAAAACCUGAGGUUUGUGAGAGUUUCCUUUCCCCAUGCCACACAUUGAGCCAGAGGCAAAGCCUGACCUAACACCUGGGUUCUCUGACCUUUGCACUCAGCACCGUAUCAGAGCUGUUUUAUAUAUUUUUUAUAUUUUAAUGGGAGACUGCAUUUAUGUUCAUUCUGUGCUGACAAACAGUAAUCACAAAUGUCAGACACGGGUCCUCUUUGGCCUGCCCAACCUUGGACACAUCAUUUGACUCCUAUGACUCCUCAGGUUCCCUAUCUGUUGUUCCAAAUGACAUAGGGCCUUUUGGCUUCAGUGCCCUUUAGCUGGAGUCACAGUAAUGAUCUGAAAUUUAGAAUCUUGGGAGGAGUACAAGUCCUGGCCCCUAUGCUUCAGUGCGGCCUCUACAAUGAUCGGUGCUUAAUUAAAUAAAGGAAUGGCAUUCCCAGGGUGUCCCGCUGUAUAAAAUGGAUAAGUCCCCAAAUCUACAGCUAAAUAGUUCAGCACCACAGUCUGGACUCAAGGGAGAAAGUAGCUUGCAAGUCUCAAGGCUUCAUGAAGUGGGGAUCACAGAGCCUGUGUGGUCUGUAUGGUUUAUAACAACAGAUGAGGUGCAUUCAUUGUUGAAGGGACAGCAGAUGAGAAGUAUUACUUUUGUAUAUGUCUCAUUCAUGGGGAGAGGUAAAGAAAGUGAAGCAAACUAAAAACACAGAGAAACCGAAGAGGGUUUAGAAGGCAUUCUUCAGUGCUGUCUGUGGUCUCUUUUCUCACUGCCUCCACAGUAAACUCUCCUGCCAUAACCAUCCUGGGUUUCCCAUAGCUCUAUUUAUUUCUUUUAUAACCAUUGUUUUUUUUUUUAAGCACAAUAUAUAUUUUAAUAUGUAUCAUUCCAGUUUUUUAAAAUGUACACAGAUACAAUUAUACACCUAUAAAAUAC